GCCUAGUUAGCUUAGUUGGUAGUGCGUCUGCCUUGUAAGCGCUAGGCCGUGGGUUCAAUUCCCGCCUGGGGUG
rnacentral:tRNA from 1 species